rnacentral:lncRNA from 1 species
AAGCUUCACUUUGCUCAUCUGCAAAAUAGCAAUGGUAAACCUAUUUAUCAUGAGGUACCUCGAAACUCCUGUUAGUACAUGUAAAAUUCUUAGAACACUGCCUGGCUUGGACUCAGCCAUGAGUACAGUGUUCACAUACUAUUGUUUUGUUUCAUUGGCUUUAGAGUGAUAGGCAAUGUAACCCCUAUACAGGCUUCAUUCUUUUUUUCUCUCCUCUCAAGUGAGACAUCAUGGUCUCAAUUGGUACCACUUGCCAUCUGCACACUUAGUAAGUUACUUAUAUUAUUUGUGAGGGCCUCCUGUGUCCCAAGAAUUCAAGUACUGGAUAAACAGGAUGGACAAGAUCCUGUCCUGUAAGGAAUCUAUAUUCUCUUUGGAGGAGAAAAACAAAAGUUAUAUAAUUAAAUAUAACAAUUUCACGUACUAAAUACUAUCUGAAAAUGAGGAGGCUAGUUUAAUAGAGCUAGUUGCAGGAAAAGGUCACUUUGUAGAGGUGACAUUUGAGUUAAGUAAAUUUUUCAUGAUAAGAAGAAGCAGCCAUCGUAUCAUCUAUAGGAAAAGUGUUUCAAGCAGAAGGAGCAACAAGAGGCAAGACUGAUAUAGGAUGAGCUUGACGCUCUCUGGAGACAGGAUAUGUUAAGCAGGAGGGCAGUGGACAGAACUUGUGUGCACAGCCUCAGACAGCGGAUUGAUUUUCAAAAGAGGCAAGAGGAUUACAAGGUACAGGCCAUUUAAGUUCUUUGGCAACACAUAUUCAUGUUUACAGUAUAGCUUCACAUCAGAACUCCUGGAAGUUAAGUUUAUCAUUUAAAUCCUUGGGUUCUUUUCAUGGGCAUUUGCUAAUUUUCCUUUCGGAAAGGAAAUAAUCCUUUAUUGAAAUAGUCUGUCCUUUCAUGGGAAGCAGCUUGGUAGUGGAAAAAGAAUGGACUUUAUCUUCAGACAAACUUCAGCUCAAAUGGACUUUGGGUGAGGGUGGGGAGGAACAAAGCAGGCAUGGGGAUGGAGAACCCUAUCCUGCUACACACCAUGGAUGCCCAUAGACUGGGACCUGGAGCAGUGGUUCUGAGACUCACGAGGAGGUGAGUGAGGACUUGGAAGUCUGCCUCUGAGUGGUGGAUGAGGCUUACUGUGUUAAGAGAGAACAUAUAUGGGGGCCACUAUGGGCAGUAGUCAGGGAUUGUAAUGACACAGCCUCCCUCCACCUUACCAAUCUGUGCAUCUGGGCUUUCUUUGUAGAUGAUGGAACUGGCCAAGCUCUUAUCUACAGUGAGUGUCCUUUCUGCCUUUUAAAAUUCUUGGAUUUC